AGAGUUUGAUCCUGGCUCAGGAUGAACGCUGGCGGCGUGCCUAAUACAUGCAAGUCGAACGAAUGUAGCAAUACAUGAGUGGCGAACGGGUGAGUAACACGUAGGUAACCUGCCUUUCAGCUUGGGAUACCCAGAGGAAACUCUGGCUAAUACCGGAUACGUAAUUCUCCGGCAUCGGAGAAUUAUAAAAGGGGCUUCUGCCCCACUGAUUGAUGGACCUGCGGCGCAUUAGCUAGUUGGUGAGAUAACAGCCCACCAAGGCAAGGAUGCGUAGCCGACCUGAGAGGGUGAUCGGCCACACUGGAACUGAGACACGGUCCAGACUCCUACGGGAGGCAGCAGUAGGGAGUUUUCGGCAAUGGGGGAAACCCUGACCGAGCAACGCCGCGUGAAUGAUGAAGGUCUUCGGAUUGUAAAGUUCUGUUGUAAGGGAAGAAUGAUAGGGAUAGGAAAUGAUCUCUGUUUGACGGUACCUUAUUAGAAAGCCACGGCUAACUACGUGCCAGCAGCCGCGGUAAUACGUAGGUGGCAAGCGUUAUCCAGAAUUAUUGGGCGUAAAGAGUGAGCAGGCGGCAAGACAAGUUUGAAGUGAAAGCGUGGGGCUUAACCCCAUACAGCUUUGAAAACUAUCUAGCUAGAGUACGAGAGAGGUAAACGGAAUUCCAUGUGUAGCGGUGAAAUGCGUAGAUAUAUGGAGGAACACCAGUGGCGAAGGCGGUUUACUAGCUCGAUACUGACGCUCAGUCACGAAAGCGUAGGGAGCAAAUAGGAUUAGAUAUCCUAGUAGUCUACGCCGUAAACGUUGAUAACUAAGUGUUCCUUUAUGGAGCGCUGAAGCUAACGCAUUAAGUUAUCCGCCUGGGGAGUACGAUCGCAAGAUUGAAACUUAAAGGAAUUGACGGGACNCCGCACAAGCAGUGGAGCAUGUGGUUUAAUUCGACGCUACGCGAAGAACCUUACCAGGGCUUGACAUACAAGUUAAUAGUAUAGAGAUAUAUGAAAGUGAGCUUAUACAGGUGGUGCAUGGUUGUCGUCAGCUCGUGUCGUGAGAUGUUUGGUUAAGUCCAGCAACGAGCGCAACCCUUGCCUUUAGUUACUAAUAUUAAGUUAAGGACUCUAAAGGGACUGCCGAUGCAAAUCGGAGGAAGGUGGGGAUGACGUCAAAUCAUCAUGCCCCUUACGUCCUGGGCGACACACGUGCUACAAUGGCCAAUACAAAGAGAUGCGAAGUAGUGAUAUGGAGCAAAUCUCAUAAAGUUGGUCUCAGUUCAGAUUGAAGUCUGCAACUCGACUUCAUGAAGGCGGAAUUGCUAGUAAUCGCAGAUCAGCCAUGCUGCGGUGAAUACGUUCCCGGGGUUUGCACUCACCGCCCGUCAA
rnacentral:rRNA from 1 species